CUUCACCAAACAUAUAAACUCAUGGUGACAUUGUAGAAUCGAUGACGUUUUACUGCACCUUGCAGCCGUGUAAAUGAUAACAACUUGAGUGACUAGAAAUGAUUGCUAGUGGACUCAGAGGGCCCAUACCAUCAUCCAUUUCGGUUUUGGAAAAGUUAAAAGAUUUGAGGAUUAGUGACAUAAAUGUGACAAUUCAGGCUUUUCCAGAGUUGAGAAACAUGACAGGCCUUACAAGAAUAAUUUUGAGGAAUUGUAAUAUUUCUGGCGAAAUCCCUGAUUACAUCUGAAGAAUGAAUCAUCUAUGAAUUCUGGAUCUCAGUUUUAACAAGUGGAGAACUACCCACUGUUAUAAGCACAAACACUAUAAAGUUCAUUUUCUUAACCGGCAACUUGCUUAGUGGAAACGUUCCGGAGUAAAUCUUGAAGAAAGGAACUAACGUGGAUCUCUCAUACAAUAACUUUGUAAGGCAAAGCGCAAAGCAGCCUGCUUGCCAGACCUCACAUAUGUACUUAAACUUGUUUCGAAGUUCUAUGCAGGAAAGUGGCUUAAGGGUGAUUCGUCCAUGCAAGGAAGAUUUCAAGUGUCCUCGAUGACAUAUUAGUGGAGAAGGACUUCACUAUGGUAGCAGCUGAACCAAUCAUAAAAAAAUUUAGUGCUAGUGUUACAGAAAAUAUUUUGGAAAUCCGCCUCUAUUGGGCUAGGAAAGAGACAACUCGAAUACCUGCAACUGGAGUUUAUGGUCCCCUGAUAUCAGCUAUUUCUGUUGACCCCAACUUCAUACCUCGUUCAGAAGGGGGGAAGGCACUAGUUAUUGUUGGAAUUCUAGGAUUCUGCAUCAUAUUCCUGGAAUUGGGUAUCAUUUGCUGGAGGCGUUAUUUCAAACCAGAGGCUUGGAAAGAAAAAGGUUUGGGUAUUAUCAAUUGCACAAAUCAUUGCUUCACAUAUUUAAUUUAAUUGAUUGGGGGUGGUUCAGCUACCUCUCAGCACAUUUUGAACAUUUUGUGACUCUUUAAAAAACGACUAUUAGUUUGUAGAGCUUUGUUAUAUUUUUUCCUAAAAAAAAUGAAUUGAACUCAACUAUUUUAUGGCUAGAGAUUUGUCUUACUAAGCCUUUUUCACUCUCCCCGUUUUAUAUUUUGUUUUCAGGUUAUGAGCAAAAACCACUAGGAGGCUAGAAUGGGUAUAAGAAUAAUUAUUGAGUCUAUCGGCAUCAUUUAAAUUUUUAUACAA